rnacentral:lncRNA from 1 species
UCCAUUUGCACGUUGACACCAAUAACAAUAAAAAUCAUCCAACAACAGCAUUGGAUUGGGGUUGAGGAUAGCUGCAGGAUUAGUAACAGAUUCAUAAGAGGCUUUAGUGGGUGGGUUGGAAGUACAGCCAAAGAGUGAGGGGUGGAAAAGGGUCAUGGGUUAGGGUUGGAUUUUGGAUUCCUUGGAAGGUUGGGUUUUGUGUCUAGUUUUGGGAAACUGGGUGUUGGCUAGGGUUUUGUGAGUUAUAUCUAAGGUUUGUUGGAUGUGGCAGCUGAUCACAAUUUUGAAUAGCAACCACUGUGUUGUGAAAGUUUGAUGACGAGAGAGGUCGUAGGUGAGAGUGGGAGGGCAAAGGUGACUAUUGUGUGGUGGCCGAUAGGCUUAUGGUGCCACUUGCGGCGGCCAAGAGAGAGGCAGCGAGUGCUUGGUGAGAUAUAUAGCAGCUUGGGUUUAUGGUAGUCAUGACUUGAAGGUUCUAGUGUCCAUAAAGUGGUCCAAUGACAACAUAAUUGGAAUCCACAGUGGAAAAUUGCUGAUUUACAACAGCUGGGACAAUAGAAGUGGCUGGGCUAGGUCGGAGUGAGGCAACGGUGGAGGCAACGGUGUGUAGGUGGUGUUUUUUGGAGUCUGAACAUGCGAGGGAUGGCUGCGGUUUUGUGGCUAUGUUGGGGGCUGUUACGAUGGCAGUGAGAGCAAGAUUGCUUGGGGGUUGGUCAAAGGUGGCAAUGGAGGUUGUUUGGCAGCAUCUCCGACUGCAGGAAAAACGGCAGCGGUGCGCUUUGAGUUUUGGGUAGUAUUGCGCGAUCUAGAGCGAGUGGUUGGAGGUGAGGGUGGCUGUGUUGGGGGCUGUUGGUGAGAAGGCGGCUGGCCAGAGAGGUGGGAAGACACCGACUGUGGCGAUGCACCACCACCGGUGGCCGGUGGAGCAAUAAAGCCAGACCAAAGUAGAUAUGGCGCCCGUCUUUUAGUUAGAGAUUUCGUGAAAACGUGAAUAAAUGUAAGUUAUUUUGUUUACUGUACUUAAAGAACCAAG